rnacentral:rRNA from 1 species
CAGCCGUAAACAAUGUGCGUUAGGUGUGUCGGUAACCACGCGUUACUGAUGCGCCGAAGAGAAAUCGUGAAACGCACCACCUGGGAAGUACGGUCGCAAGGCUGAAACUUAAAGGAAUUGGCGGGGGAGCACCACAACAGGUGGAGCCUGCGGUUUAAUUGGACUCAACGCCGGGAAGCUCACCGGAUAGGACAGCAGAAUGAUUGCCGGGCUGAAGACCCUGCAUGACUAGCUGAGAGGAGGUGCAUGGCGUCAGUGACU